UGGGGAAUUUUCCGCAAUGGGCGAAAGCCCGACGGAGCAAUGCCGCGUGGAGGUGGAAGGCCUACGGGUCGUCAACUUCUUUUCUCGGAGAGAAACAAUGACGGUAUCUGAGGAAUAAGCAUCGGCUAACUCUGNGCCAG
rnacentral:rRNA from 1 species